rnacentral:lncRNA from 1 species
GUCUUCCGUCAGGAGGAGAUGAACGGCUGGCUGGAGGCUGUGGCUAACUCCGUGGCAGAACACGCCGAGAUCGCCCGAUGGGGUCAGACACUACCUACCACAUCAUCCACAGAUGAGGGCAACCCCAAGCGUGAGGGCGGGGAGCGUAGGGCCAGCGGGCGCCGGAAGUGAUUCCAGGUACCCUUUCCCCCACCUUGGAGUCUGACAAGUCUCCUUGCCCCUCCUCUCUGCACUGUGGACACAAAGACAACUUCUCAUCCGCAAGGGCCGGAAUGACUGCGGAUGUGCCACUGUGGGCCUGAAAUAGAAGGGACUUCUGCACUCCAAGAGGUGGUGGUAGGGGAUUGCUGUCCCUAUAGCCAUAUCUCGGUCCCUUCCCGCUCGCCAACCCCACCCCAGGUGCUGGGGCUCCAUUCUUUUUAUGCAAUAACUGAGCUUGGUGGGGCCGGGCAGGGAGCCAGUUGAGCCAAGCUCCCUGCCCAAUCGUCAGAUCCUGCCCCAAGAAGCUGGAGUGGCGAGGGAUCUAGGAGGUGGUGAUUUGUUGGCCUCCUCUCCGCCCUAAGGAUGGACAACGGGGGCGCUGGUGAGGUCCCCUGGACCAUCCAGGGUGCUAGGGGGUGGGGAGGGGACACACUCCCUCCCUGCCUUUACCUCACUUCCAAUGCUGCCUUGAUCUGUCUGGGAAGAGGGAGGACAGGGGCCCUUAGCCCCUGUACUCCGCCAUCUCAGAGCCAUGCGGUUAAUUCCUGACUUAGUUUAUUUUUGCAAAAACGUAGACCCCCCCUCCUUCCCCCCGCCCCGCAUCCGCGAAGGCUUUUAAUAGGAGGGGAGUCAAAGUUCAAAACUGUCUUCCUCUCUCCUCCCCGAUUCUAGCUGUAAAUGCCACUUCCCGAGGGGGAGGGGGUGGGAAAGCCCUCCCCCUGCAUGCUUCUGGCUGGAGCACCUCCCUGGGACGGAGGGAAUCAGGGUUACAGGCAACCCCCGUGGCUGCUUGGAGACGCUGCCAAGGCAGGGGGUGCGGGGCGGUGUGGCAGGCGCACACUGUAUGUACCUAUAAUAAACCCUUUGGCUUUG